UGGGGUAUAGCCAAGCGGUAAGGCAAGGGACUUUGACCCUCAUGCGUUGGUUCGAAUCCAGCUACCCCAG
rnacentral:tRNA from 1 species